rnacentral:rRNA from 1 species
CCUACGGGCGGCAGCAGUGAGGAAUAUUGGUCAAUGGACGAGAGUCUGAACCAGCCAAGUAGCGUGAAGGAUGACUGCCCUAUGGGUUGUAAACUUCUUUUAUAAAGGAAUAAAACGAGGCACGUGUGCCUUUUUGCAUGUACUUUAUGAAUAAGGAUCGGCUAACUCCGUGCCAGCAGCCGCGGUAAUACGGAGGAUCCGAGCGUUAUCCGGAUUUAUUGGGUUUAAAGGGAGCGUAGAUGGGUUGUUAAGUCAGUUGUGAAAGUUUGCGGCUCAACCGUAAAAUUGCAAUUGAUACUGGCAGUCGUGAGUACAGUUGAGGUAGGCGGAAUUCGUGGUGUAGCGGUGAAAUGCUUAGAUAUCACGAAGAACCCCGAUUGCGAAGGCAGCUUACUAAACUGUGACUGACAUUGAUGCUCGAAAGUGUGGGUAUCAAACAGGAUUAGAUACCCCUGUGUC